GAGUUUUAUAUUUAAUUUUAUUUUGUAUAAUUAUAAAAAUUUAUAUUAAAUGGAAUGAAAUAUUAUAUUGGGGUGAUAGAAAAAUAAAAUAAACUUUUUUUAAAAAUUUAACAUAAAUAAAUGAUUUUUUGAUCCAUUUUUAAUGAUUAUAAGAAAAAAUUACCUUAGGGAUAACAGCGUAAUUUUUUUUUUUAGAACAAAUAAAAAAAAGAGAUUGC
rnacentral:rRNA from 1 species